UUUUUUUUUUUUUUUUUUUUUUGCCAGGAAAGCAUUUUAAAAAUUGAAUCAGAUUUUUGAGUGUAAGCAUGUACUUUCAAGCUCACUACAUUUCUCACGUUCUAUAUCAGCAUAUUCCUAUUUAUUCAUUACUUAUCCAGCCCCUGAAGGCAUUUGAGUUUGCAGCCUUUGGGGUAAGGUCUUUUGGCAUGUGAUAGAGGCUGCCAGAUUUUCAGAGUGAAAUGUGUUAGGCCAAGGAAAACGAUGCUUACAACCAUCUUAGUAACACUAGAAGGUCAAGGUCACACACCUGACCUUUCAGUUUCAUUUGUCCACUAAGUGUACCCCAUUAGAAGACCCAUAUGUCAUAAAUUUUACUGCCACAAAUUAUAGGGUCAGAUCAUUUGCCACUUUGUUCUCCACCCUUGGCUGUCCUGGGAGGCUAAGGGUUGUUUCUCUUUCUCAGUACAUUGGGAAGUGUUUGUCUCAAUGGCUUUUAAUGGGUGGGCAAGACUCACCUUUAGUCUUCACGUGUACGUGGGUCAUGUGGCUAAGAGGGUAGUUUGGGUCAAGACUCAUUGGUGGCUGGCAAGGCCUGAGGUACCAACAGCAUGUCAGAUGAUUCUGCCAAAAGUGAUUGGAUGUCAGAGCUAGAAGAGAAAGCUUAGAUUCAUUCAUUCAUUCAACAAACAUUGAACACUAGCAUUUUGCUGGAUGCUGGGAUCACAGCAGUAAAAGACAAAGUUCCUGUCCUUGUGAAACUUAUGUCUAAUAAUGCAGCUAUGCAGAAAUCAUGUAUGCAGUCCAAUGCCUUUAGCAUACAGACAAGGAAAUCAGGAUCAUAUGGGGCACACAAAUUGCCUAAAGUCAUACAACUUGUAAGUGACAAAACAGGGCUGAAGAAAAGGUUUGAUGCUGAUUGCCUGGCUUUUUCUACUUCUUCCUUCUGUCUUACCUUCACAUUUUUCUGAAUGGUUUUUAUCUGCUUUCAUUUUCCACAAUGAUCCAUCCUAAACCAUUCUGCUACUGAAGUUGACCUUAUUGAGGUCUCCUGAGCUUGAUUAUCUAUUGAUUCUUCUAUCUUCAAGAGUUGAGCAUUUUAUCCCUUAUUUAUAGAGCAACUUCCUUCCUUUAUAUUAUUUUUCCCCCUUUAAGUUAUAUUCAAAGGCUUUACUACCUUCUGUAGUUAUUUCAUUUCUACAAAUGGGUUAAAUCCUUAAAUCUUUGUUUAAGAGUGGGUUUUUUUUUUUUUCUUUGAGACAGAGUCUUACCCAGUUGCCCAGGCUGUAGUGCAAUGGCGCCAUCUCGGCUCACUGCAACCUCCACCUUCCGGAUUCAAGCGAUUCUCCUGCCUCAGCCUCCCGAGUAGCUGGGACUACAGGUGUGCACCACAACAUCCAGCUAGUUUUUGUAUUUUCAGUAGAGACAGGGUUUCACCAUGUUGGCUAGACUGGUCUCAAACUCCUGACCUCAGGUGAUCUUUCCACUUCGACCUCCCAUAGUGCUGGGAUUGCAGGUGUCAGCCACCACAUCUGGUCUUAAAUCGGUCAUUUUUACAGAAGAGUACAUGCUACAUGAUUCCAUUUCCAUGACAUUUUUGGAAAGGGAGAUCCCAGUUAUAUGAAAUUCUAAACAUUCUAGAAAAGGGAAAUGCAUCAGUAGUUGCCUAGAGUCAGAGGUGGGAAAUUACUGCAAAGAGCCACAGUGGUUUUGGGGGACAGAAAUAUCUUAUUUGUUCAGUUUGGUGGUGGUUACACGUGUAUAUACAUAUGUGAAACUUGCCAAACUAUAUGCUUAAAAUGGAUGUGUUUUAUUGUUUGUAGAUUACACUUCAAUAAAGUUGACUUUUUGGAAAAGAAACCUUUUGAAAUAGGCUUGCCUCUCUGCAAAGAAACAACUAGGAUCUGCCAACUACAGAGUUCAGACUUAAAAUGCAAAAACUUAACUUCAGAGAGUGAGACU
rnacentral:lncRNA from 1 species